rnacentral:misc_RNA from 1 species
AAUUCUCAACGAUGGAUAUCUUGGUUCCCAUAACGAUGAAGAACGCAGCGAAGUGCGAUAAGCAAUGCGAAUUGCAGAACCGUGAGUCAUCAGAUUUUUGAACGCAACUGGCGCCGACUGGCUCUCCAGUCGGCAUGCUUGUUUCAGUGUCUCUUUAUCUCAUCACCCAAAUCUUAAUGCGAGAGAUACCCUUCUCUUGCUAAGCAUGAAAGCACUCUACGCUUUGCGAGCGGCUUCGAUUCGUCGAUGUUCGCACUCAAUGCAGCAGUCACAUUCUUGUAAUGUGAACUCAUUGAGAGCUAAGGUAGUGCAGAGUAAUCUGCCAGUGCUUAGACACUCAAACUUUACUUGCAUCUGAAAUCAAGCAGGACCACCCGCUGAACUUAAGCAUAUCAUUAAGCGGAGGAGAAGAAAUUAACUAAGAUUGCCCUAGUAACGGCGAGUGAAGCGGCA